GGGACCCCUGGGGAGGAGCAGCUGCAGGGCAAAGGUCAGGGUGCAGAGGCGGACAUGCUCCAGGUGAGGCUGAGAAACAGCGAGAGCUUGCAGCAGGAACCUGGAAGGUACACAUCUGUGAGGAAUCUUCCAGAAGGAAAGCACCAGAGAGAGUCAGAACUGCAGCAUGAAGGGCGCCCCCCGGGCUCCGGACCUGAGCCUCGCUUGCAGGAGCGUCGGCUGAGUCAGGGAAGUGCCGAGGCCUCUCCGCAGAGACCGGCAGGGUCCCGUCGAAGAGCAAGGGCUGGACGCCUGGAUUUCCACCCAUCCUCCUGCUGUUUGUUCCCUCCUUCCACCGCGAUUCAGCGCUGGGAUGGCAACACCCCCUGCGGUGCCCAGACGGCACCCGUGUUUCUGCGCACACACAGGUCCUCAGAAGUGCCGCCAUCUCUGCUGGUGACCCAGGGCCAGCACCACCGUGAGCUUUGAACCCGUGGGAUUUGGCAGACCCGGACCCAGGGGAGUCCCGGGGCAUGGCAGGGCAGCUCCAUCCCAGCCCAGAGGACCCCAGCACCCCCGGGCUCAAGGUGGGGCCUCCCCCGCGUCUCUGGAGGAACCUGAGCGCCCAAAGGCUCUUGCAGCAGCUGAGAAGGUUUCUGGAGUACGCGGUGCCGGACCGUGCUGGAUUCCUGGGGGCAUACAAGCACAGGCCGGGUGAGGAGAGCACCACGGCAAGGCCGGAGGGCCAGAUCCGGCCUCUGGCCUUUGCUUCUUCUCAGCCUGGCCCUGGGGAGGGUGGGGUGAGAUGGGACAGGAUUGGGGGGAAGGGAGCGGGGGGACCACCCACGUCAACAGGGGUUCCAACACGGAGGAACAUUCAGGAGACUGGCUUUCAACUCCCAAGUCGGCUUCUAACAUGCUGUGUACCCUUGGUCAAGUUACCUUACCCCUCUAAGCAGAGGUAAAGAUAACCACCUUUCCAAUCCUUGAAAGGAUUAAGUGUUAUAAAAUAUGUCUACAAGUAUCCCAUAUAUUGCCUGGCUCAUAGUUUGAACCCAGUGAAUGUUUGCUAUUUCUGUGUCUGGAUAAAAUGAUUCCUGAACACCUACAUCCUGUUUUGCAUGAGUGGGGGGGAAGGCUGGGAGAAGACAUAAAGACUUGUUCAGCCUUGCAUUAAAACCGGCGGUGAAUAUGUCUGCCUCUCCACUAGAAUCUGUGGUCCCUGAAGGCACGGGGCUUGCCUUUCAAACCCCUACUGAGUGGCCAGCACAUAGUAAGUCCUCAGUUAGUAUCUGCUGAGUCAAGCUGAUUGAAGAUCCCAGAAGGAAAGCUAGCCAAACACUUGGGAAGAAAGGUUUUAACAGAGUAUUUGAUGUACAUUUUCAGAAAGGCUGUCUUCAUACCCAGGUAUACAAAAUACCUUUGCCUGUUGCAUGCUGCAAUGUGGAUGGCUGACCUGCUUUUCCUUCCUCUAUGUUCAGUAAAUGAGAAUUCCUUUAUCUUUUUUUAUCUCAAGCCUUCUGAGGUCAAGAGGGAUGACUCCACAUGGGGCGGGGGGCGUGUGUUUUUCAGCACCCAGCAUGCAGGUCUCCCUUUAUAACCCGGAGCGAGCACAGGCUCAGAGCUUUAAUCAGGCAGUGAAAUCCGGACAGACUUGGGGGGCAUUGUCUCGUGUCAUUGCUUCUGUGUGCACAAGUGCUUCCAUUUUCCGCAAGUGAUACUGCGUUUCCAUUUAUGGCGAUCGUGUAAAGUCCUGUCCAUCUGUUUUGGUGGGAACAGCCAGGGGCGUGGAGACCUUACGUGCCACAUAAUAUGACUGGGGGAUCUGAGUGCGCAGGGAAGGGGAUCUGCCAGCAGCUGUGGUUCUGGGGGUGCCCCUGCAAGUCCUGCCCACCCUGGCCCACCCGUGGCCCCUGGAGACUCUGCCUGGGUCUCUGCAGCUCCAGGGCAGGAUAAAAUCUGGCUUCAGCUCUAAGGCAGUGGAUGCUGCCUAGCUUCAUGCUUCCCUGCCUAGGCUGCUGGAGCAGUGGCUUUCCACAUCCAGUGCCAAGCUGGGAGCUAGCCUUCGCUUGGUCCUGAGAUCAGGUCCUCUCCGCAUGUCCUACUGAAGCUCGUGCCUGGCCUCAGCUCUAGCCAUCAUCUGUUAAGGGAUUCUGGCCCCCAGAGGAAUCAAACUCACUGCCUUCCCCAGAGAAAGAGAGAAGAGCACCAUUGCUCUUCUUGCAGUCCUUCAGAGCGGCACUGUACGUGUGGCUGCCUGACUCUGUAAGACUGUGGACAGGGACACAGCCAGCAGCCACAGCCGACACCUGCGCCUCCCUCAGCGCCUGGCAUGUCCUGGCUCAGCCGAUGCUGGAGGCCUCUCAUGGCCUAGCCUCUCGCCACGGGUCUGGCCAGCCCCACUCUCACCUGGACGUCAAGGUCACACCCCUGGCAUUUCAGAGGCUCCAGUUCUCCAUGCCAGCAGGGUACAUAUUUGACCAAGCAGGCAGGGAUCUAACCUUGGAUUAACAUUCCAGACGGAGCCUGAACUGUGAUAAAAUGACUUUUAGUGAAAUUAUGGAAGACAGGAUAGCUCUAGGCUACGAAAUUACCUCCCUUCUCCUAAAAGGCUUAAAAAUCCCUUAAAAUAAUGUGAUUGUGAAGUAUCAUAUGUUCAUAGUAAAAGAUUCAGAACCUAGAGACUAACAAAAGGAAGACACUAAACACCUCGAAUAACUCCUCUACUCAGAUAGAUCUUCUGCUAUAGGCGAUUCUGUCCUUGCUGCUUCUGCGAAGUCGCUCAGUCGUGUCUGACUCUCUGCAACCCCAUAGAACCCACCAGGCUCCCCCGUCCCUGGGACUCUCCAGGCAAGAACACUGGAGUGGGUUGCCAUCUCCUUCUCCAAUGCAGGAAAGUGAAAAGUGAAAGUGAAGUCGCUCAGUCAUGUCCGACUCUUAGCAACCCCAUGGACUGCAGCCCACCAGGCUCCUCCGUCCAUGGGAUUUUCCAGGCAAGAGUACUGGAGUGGGGUGCCAUUGCCUUCUCCGGAUUCUGUCCUUAAAUAUUUUUAAAUAAAAUACAUCAAAGAGAUUAUAUAAAAAGCAUAUAUGUGUGGCUUAAAAUAUUAAAGAAUAUUAAAAUGCAUACCAGUGUAACCACCUCUCAGGUUAAGUAACAGAAUUUACCAACCUCUGACUUGUUUCAGCAAAUAUGUAUGUAUUGGUAAACAAUACAUUGUGUUGUUCUGCCAGCAUUUUACUUUUAUAUAAAUGGGAUCAUGUUUUAGGGUUUUUUUUUUAUGUACUACCUUUUUUUAAGUUGUUGUUUAACAUUAUACUUUUGAGAUUAAGCUGUGUUGACACGUGGACCUGUAGUUCAUUUUCACUGUCAGAAAGUAUUCCAUUAUGGGAAGAUACACCAAUUUAUUUAUCUGUUCACUUUUUGAUGGACAUCUGAGUUGUUUCUCAUUUUUAUGAUCUUACACUCUGCUGGUCUCAUUAAAUGAACAGGAGAAUUUCCCCUUUUCUCUCCUCUGAAGAGUCCAAGGAGAACUGGAAUGAUCUGUUCCUUGAGUGUUUGGUAGAACUCCUUAGCAAAACCAAGUACUUCUCGUGUUUCUUUCACUUUAUUUUUAAAGGUUAUAGGAUCAUUCACACUUUCUA